rnacentral:lncRNA from 1 species
UUCACUGCCAUUUGAUGAGUCUACAUACUUUAUAUAAAUGACACAGUUAUUCGAAACACUACACGAUAUUUAUUAGUAUUUCAACCUGUGUUUCUUCUCUGAGGGGGAGGACGACCGAGCCUCAUGCCAGCUGUACCAGCUCCUGCGUCCUGUCUGUGUGUUCAACACCUGCAGGUUGAGCCUGCAGGAUGUGCUGAGUAGCUACAACAGAGAGGUGACAGAGCUAAUGAGAAUGAAGUCUGGGAUGAACGUUAAUGUGCUCGUGGUCCGUGUUCGCACCAUUAGCAAUCUUCUGUGCGGGCUCUCGUGUCAGGAGCUGGAGGACGCUAUUGGCCGGCUCAACAGAAUCAACCCCAUACCUCUGGUAGGGUAUCACAUACAUUUGUGCUACUUUCAGUAUAAUCAUACAGUUUGUUUAACCAUUUCCCUUUGUUGAGCUAAUUUUUCCUAAUUGUUUAUGGAUUACUUAUUUGUUGAUUACUUAUCUUAAUGCUG